UCCCGCGCGCUCCGCCGCCGGGCCGGGUCCCCGCCAGCCCCCCUGGCCAAGAGCACAGGAAAUCGUCCCAACUAGGCACAGCCCGGGCCUGCUAGCCGGGCGAAGCGUGUCACGGGGACGAGGACCAGUAUUCGCCCCACAGAGGCCUGGGUCACAUCGCUAGACGCCUAGAACUGUGCUGCUUAAGAGCUGGCAGGUUGUCCCAGGGAUGAUGGACUUACUGGAAGGAGGCAGGUUGGUGGUUAAGAGCCAGGGGUAUAGAAUCAGAGGGUCUGUCUUCUCCUCUUGGCCCUACGGUUUACGGUGUGUGCUACAGACCAUCUGGGAACCUCAGUUUCCACCUUAUAAAAUGGGAGCAAUAAUAGUACCUCCUUCACAGAGCUAUCGCAUGAGAAUUAAGAGUUAAUUCGUGUAAAACUGUCACAUAGUCCCUAACACAGAGUAUGCUUCUAAUCUGCGUUGUUUCUGCUGCCCUGUGAGAUAAGGAGCUAUGACACACCUGACUGCCAGGCGACUCCGCAAGUGCCAGGGCACUCAGCAGUUUAUCAGCGAUUCGGCUAUAACACUGCGCAGUGUGUGGAAGCGCGGUGAGGAUAUGGAGCUGGGGCUAAGUAAGGAUGGAGGACACUAAUCUGGUUGCCUUGAAGGGAUGGGAGUUGGUCAGGAAAGGAGGAAAGGAGAAAAGAAGAAUCACCCACCCUCAAAAAAGGGAGAGGCAAAGCUUUAACCGAAGGUAGAAUUUUCAUCUUUUCAAGCCAAAUAUGAAUCAAUUUCCAACUGUGGGCACAGAAGGGGAAACCCAAACAGAUCCUGGAAGUAUCGCUGACUUGAGAAGAUGGAAAUCAGAGUUUGGGGAGCCCAAGACAAGUUUGGAGGUUAUCAGGUAGAGUUUUGGAAAGGAGGGUACUUUAUAAGAAAAAAGCUCCAUUAAGAACUAGGCUGCCCAUAAAUAGAAGAAAGCUUCACAAAGAUGGACCAAAAAUGACCAUGUCACUGUAAAUGAAAAUAUUCCCAGAGCUCAUGAAGGGAUGAAGACACUUGAGCUCUGACCAUCCAGAAUGGAGAGCUCUUGAUGAUCAUCUGGGAAAUUUGAUGGAGAGCCCAGGAGUCCUGCCUUAGAAGCAAAAGUAAACUAACACUGAAGUGGAAGCUGUUUUAGAUCCACCCUAACAAGAUAUAUAAAUAGACCUCAAAGAUGAUAAAACUGAUCUGCAACUUAUUUAACUCUGUAAAGGAAGAAAACAACAUCUAAGCAACUAACAACAUAAAAUUCAUAAUAUUCAGCAUUCAAUAAAAAAGUUAAUAAACAAGCCAAGAAGAAGGAAAAUGGAACUAAUUACCAAGGAACAAAUUAGUCAAUAGGAAAAGCACAGAAAUAACAAUGUUGUUAGAAUUAGCAAAGAGGUUAAAAACAUGGAAUAUAGCAAGGGGAAAAACAUAAACUAUUAAAAAGAAUCAAAUGAAAUUAGGAAUACAAAAUACAAUAUAUGAAAAUAAAGAAAUGAUAGCUCCAAAUUUUCCAAAUUUGAUGAAAAUUAUAAGCCCACAGUUCCUAAAAGCACGAGACCCAAAGCAGGAUGAACACACACAUGCUAACACAGAUAUAACAAGGUUUACCAUAAUCAAAUACCUAAAAACUACUGAAAAAGAAUAUUUUAAAAACAGCUAAAGAAAAAAGACAUGAUAUACAGAGAAACAAAGACAAAUUACAGGAGAUUUCUUGUAAUUUUAUAAACCAGAGGACAGUAGAAUGACAUUUUCAAAGUACUAAACAAAAAAAGCUUUCAAUCUAAAAGUCUAGAAACAGCAGCAUUGCUCCUCAAAAUAAAGCCAGAUAAAGACAUUUUUCAGAAAAAAAUUUAAAAAAUUUGUUGCCAGCAGACCUGAAUUGCAAUAAAUGUUAAAGGAAGUUCUUCAAAUGGCGAGGAAAUGAUACCAACUGGAAAUAUAGAUCAUUACAGAGAAAAGAAGAGCAGUAGUAGUAAAGCUAAAUAUAUGCUCAAAUACAAAGGUUUUCCCCUUGAUUUUUAGUAUCUUUUAAAAGUAUUUAAUUGCUUAAACAAAAAUGAUACAAUGUAUAUUUUGAGUAUAACAUAUGUAGAAGUAAAACGUAUAACUACAAUAGCACAAAGGAGAAGAGGGAGAAGCAAAAGAAGAUACAAAUGACCAAUAAACACAUGAAAAUAUGCUCAACAUCAUUAGUUAUUAGGGAAAUGCAAAUUAAAACCAUUAUGAAACACUACCACAUGUGUACUAGAUUGUCUAAAUUUAAAAAGAUUGACUAUACCAAGUGCUGGCCAGUAUAUAGAACAACUGAAAGUUUCAUACAUUGAUUUGGGUGAUAUAAAUGGUAAAAUCACUUUGGAAAAUAGUUUUAGAGAUUCUUAUAAAGUUAAACAUACACUUACAACAUGAUUUAGAAAUUCCACUCUUGGAUUUUUACCCGAGAAAAAUGGAAAGCGAAAUGCACAUAGACUUGUACAUGAAUGUU